CGAAGAAGACCUCAUCACUGGACGAAAAGCACAAAAGAAAAUCAUCUAUCGUGUUUUGAUGUCCGACCCUAAUUUUCCACCUUUUGUCUCGGUGUUAAUUUGACACUAAAAAAUCCCAUAUUUAUUAAAAGAAAUUUGGUUGAGUUUUAAUCCAUCUCUUCAAAGCAAAGAGAUGAUGAGUAAAGAAGGAUGUAUCCUUUUACUCUUCCAGGAGAAAGAAAUCCUAAGUUCUUUCUUCUCUGUUAUUCUUUUUGCUCUUUGUGCUCUAGGUUUCUGGCCGUUAAAAAUUUGUUACCGAAGGAAUUUCAAUCCUAGGCUUUAAAUGUCAAUAUUAUCAAGAAUAAGAUGAGGUCGGGGAGUGAUGGAUAUUUUCCGAUCAGGUGAAGUACCCACGACCCUUAUUUUGUGGUGAAGCAAUUCUGGAGUUAAUGAAUAUCAAAAAAGUUACUUAAAAAAAAAAACUCAGCACUCCUGAUUGGGUGUUUAAUGCCUUGCUGUCUUGCGACAACUUGCACAUCUCCUUGAUACUCUAUACUUUCUACCCUCCACAUCCAAGAAGUAUUUUCGCCAGGAAGAUGAGGAGGUUCAGUUUGGCUUUAACUAUCUUGAAAAUUAAUCAUCUGUAUAUGACUAGCAACUACCAGUCUCGAGUUUAUCCUCCUCUGGAUGGUGGCAGUCUGGCCUGACAUGAUGUUAGGUUUACUGACGGGUUGAUGUAAGCAGGAAAAAUCAUUUAAGAUCCUGAGCAUCUGUGAGGGGAAAGUAUAUUUACUCGCUAGAAGUAAAUGAAACUUAACUUAUGUUUUACUUUCUAUAAUUCCAACUUCAUUUGUUUCUCAUCUGCAAUCCAUCAGCUUUUGUUAAGAGCAAGGUUAAACUUCAUGAAGAUACGCUUCGUUUAUGUAUAUAAUACUUGCUUAUAUUCGUAG